GAUGAACGCUGGCGGCGUGCCUAAUACAUGCAAGUCGAGCGAACGGACGAGAAGCUUGCUUUUCUGAUGUUAGCGGCGGACGGGUGAGUAACACGUGGAUAACCUACCUAUAAGACUGGGAUAACUUCGGGAAACCGGAGCUAAUACCGGAUAAUAUUUUGAACCGCAUGGUUCAAAAGUGAAAGACGGUCUUGCUGUCACUUAUAGCUGGAUCCGCGCUGCAUUAGCUAGUUGGUAAGGUAACGGCUUACCAAGGCAACGAUGCAUAGCCGACCUGAGAGGGUGAUCGGCCACACUGGAACUGAGACACGGUCCAGACUCCUACGGGAGGCAGCAGUAGGGAAUCUUGCGCAAUGGGCGGAAGCCUGACGGAGCAACGCCGCGUGAGUGAUGAAGGUCUUCGGAUCGUAAAACUCUGUUGUUAGGGAAGAAAAUAAGUGUGGGUAAAUGUGGACAUCUUGACGGUACCUAAUCAGAAAGCCACGGCUAACUACGUG
rnacentral:rRNA from 1 species